rnacentral:rRNA from 1 species
AUGGUUAACUUUAUGGGUGAAAUUUUAAAGUAAAGUGUGGGAAGUAGAGGAAGUGUAACUUUUAUGGGGAAUAGGAUUAGAUACCCUAGUACUUUUAGGGUUAUUAUAAAGUAGUAAAUAAUUUUUAUUAAACUUAAUUUUUCUGGCGGUUUAUUACCCUUUCACAGGAAUUUGUUAAUUUUGAAAGAUAGCCCGCUUUUAUUAUAACCAAUUUAAAUUUUAUGUACGGUUGUUUAGCUUUAAUUUAAUUAUUUUUGCAAAAAAAUUAUUUUUGUAAUUCAGACCUUUGUGUAGAGUAUAAAUUGGUUUUUAAUGAGUUACAAUAAUAAGAGGUGUUUUUUAUAUAAUAUGGAAUUUGGAUGUGAAAGUAAAAUAAAAAUAAAAUUUUUAUUUGAUUGGGACCUAAUAAAAGUACAUAUCGCCCGUCGCUCUUUUGAUAGAUAAGUCGUAACAAAGUAGGAGUACUGGAAAGUGUUUCUUGUUU